AGGAUGAACGCUGGCGGUCUGCUUAACACAUGCAAGUCGAACGGAGUAGCAAUACUUAGUGGCGGACGGGUGAGUAACGCGUGAGAAUCUACCUUCAGGACGGAGACAACAGUUGGAAACGACUGCUAACCCCCGAUGUACUGAAAAGGCAAAUAUUUAUAGCCUGAAGAAGAGCUCGCGUCCGAUUAGCUAGUUGGAGAGGUAAAAGCUCACCAAGGCGACGAUCGGUAGCUGGUCUGAGAGGACGAUCAGCCACACUGGGACUGAGACACGGCCCAGACUCCUACGGGAGGCAGCAGUGGGGAAUUUUCCGCAAUGGGCGAAAGCCUGACGGAGCAAGACCGCGUGGGGGAAGAAGGCUCGUUGGGUUGUAAACUCCUUUCGCUCGUGACGAGUCUCGUUCGGGGGUGACGGUAGCGGGAGAAGGAAGCGACCGGCUAACGUACGCGCCAGCAGCCGC
rnacentral:rRNA from 1 species